AACUUCCCCCAUUUCGCAUGUGCGGGCAACUUACGCACACACAUUUUGCUGAGAAGCAAUCGGGAUAAAAGAGGGAUGGUUUAUACACAAGCGCCCCAAAGCCGAGAAACAUUAUGUUAUCGUGAAUCAAGCGCCAUGCAGAUAUAAACAGCCCUUGCUGCCCGCCCGAUUAACAGACAGCUCGACCUGAUGUUUUCACAAAAUCAUUCAACGGAUGAAGCAUGAGUGUACAGGAAUAUUCAAAAGGGAAAUUACAUGUAGGAGUAUUUACAGUUCGACCUGAUGUUUUCUCAUACACAUACAGUAUAGCCUCAAUAUAUCAUUCAACGUUUGGAGCGUGACUGUGUACUACAACUGUUUCAUUCACUAGUGUUUAUGACUACAGGAAUUCUAAAGGGAAUUACAUGUAAGACUGAGUAUUUGUAAGUACAAUAUAUAAUCAUUCAUAAAAAGUAUAUACAACAACAACUGUAUGCCCGUGCACGCGCUGGAAAAAAACUUAAGUUUCUUCCAUAACCCCCAUAAAGCUGAAUGAAUGAUACAAUAGUUAGUUCCAUCA